CCUACGGGAGGCAGCAGUGAGGAAUAUUGGUCAAUGGACGAGAGUCUGAACCAGCCAAGUAGCGUGAAGGAUGACUGCCCUAUGGGUUGUAAACUUCUUUUAUAUGGGAAUAAAAUGUUCCACGUGUGGGAUUUUGUAUGUACCAUAUGAAUAAGGAUCGGCUAACUCCGUGCCAGCAGCCGCGGUAAUACGGAGGAUCCGAGCGUUAUCCGGAUGUAUUGGGUUUAAAGGGAGCGUAGGUGGAUUGUUAAGUCAGUUGUGAAAGUUUGCGGCUCAACCGUAAAAUUGCAGUUGAAACUGGCAGUCUUGAGUACAGUAGAGGUGGGCGGAAUUCGUGGUGUAGCGGUGAAAUGCUUAGAUAUCACGAAGAACUCCGAUUGCGAAGGCAGCUCACUGGACUGCAACUGACGCUGAGGCUCGAAAGUGUGGGUAUCAAACAGGAUUAGAUACCCCAGUAGUC
rnacentral:rRNA from 1 species